GGUUGUAGCUCAGUGGUAGAGUGCUCACCUGGUAUGUGCGUGGCCCUGGGUUCAAUCCUCAGCACCA
rnacentral:tRNA from 1 species